UGGAAGCAGAGAAGGGAAAGGAAAGAGGAGGAUGGAAGGAAAAGGGAAAGGUGGCAAGAGAAAGAAAAAGGAGAGAGGGAAAGGAGAGGAGAAAAGGGGAAAUCUAGGGAGGAAGAAAGGAGGAGGAGGAGCCGAGGAGUGUAGGGAGGGCCCAGCUGGGAGGCAGAGCUGAGACACAGGAGGAGCCCUGAAUGCUGUCUGCUCAGCCCCCUCCCAUCUCCUGGCACCCACCGAGAUCCGGCCACUGCCCGGCAGGCCCUUCUCUAGCCUGUUUCCCAGAGAAGCUGACCGGGAGGGUCCUGAGGCUCUACAACAAACAUAGGAGUACAGAGCUGGGUUCUGGUCUUACCUUUGACCCAGCGGAUGAUCAGGGAGGUCCCUCCUCGCUCUGGGCCUACAAGGUUCUCAUUUCUUCAAUCAAUAUCAACCUUUUUGAAGUGCCUACUAUGUGCCAGGGGACACAGUGGGUGCAGGGCUGAACCUGGAGUGAGGAAGACUCAGAUUCCCAAGUUCAAAUCCAGCCUCGGACACUCGCUGGCUGUGGGAUGCUGGGCGAGCCACUUCACCUCGUCUGCCUCAGUUUCCCCAUCCGUAAAAUGAGUCGGAGAAGGCCAUGGCAAAGCACUCCGGUAUCUCUGCCAGGAAAACCCCAAAUGGAGUCACCAAGAGUCGGGCCUGACUGAACAGCAGCGGGAGUUACGUACGGAGCCCGAUGCUAAGUGCCGGGAAUAUAAACUCGAAGAAAGAAAGGCGGUUCCUUCUCCAACUCCAGGGAGAGCCGGUGGCAGACAUUUUCCUUCCCUAGAGGAAGGAAAUACCUGGAAACACCUGCUCAGGGAAGCCUGCCCGGAUUGGUCCUCCCAGCUGGCUACCUGUCUCAUUGGCUGCCCUCGCACGGAGGGGCCCCUGCCUCCCAACCUCCCUCAAGGGGCAGCCCUGCCCCCUGCACUGCCCGGCCCUCCCACACCCACAGCCCGGGAUGCACAUGCCUCAAGGCUGAGCUCACACACACAUGCCCGGCAGAGCCGGGGCACAGCCGCACCCAGCCCUUCCGAGAGUGAGUCAGGCCUGCGGGUGCCGACGGGCUCCAGCUUAGCCCCGGGCAGUGCGGGCGGUGGGCACCCAGGACCCUGCCAGCCCCGGAGAGCGCUCUCAGACGUGCAGUCUCGUGUUCCCGGCCCCCCCGCUCGGGGAGCGGGCACGGGCCCAGGCUGUCGGAAGCAGGGUCUCCCCCAGAACGGGGCUCCCCCGGCGCAGCUUCUCUCCCUGGCACACCCUGGGCCAGACAUCAGGGAGGGAGCCCCUCCGAAACAAGACCAUAUUUCUAAAUCGAUCGGAAAGUAAACACAAGAUGGGAGAGCAACUGGUUUCUUGGGAAACAUAGCAAGAAGUGGGGGAGGAAGGGGGAGCCGGGCUGCAUGAAUAAGUCCCCGGCCCCCGACGUGGCCAGCUCUUCCCACGCCCCCUCCCCUUCUUCAGAGGCUCUCCCCCCGCCUUGGGACCCGGCCCGGGGCUGGCAACCUGUGCUUGUGCCUAAUGACACUCGGGACAAAUGCACAUGCAUCUCCUGGGCCUCCUUUUAGGGAGCUGCAACCCCUCACUUUCAUCCUGGGGUCAUGAGUUAGGGCCAGUCCCGUGCCCCUCUUCUUGGCCCAAGAUACUGGGAUACUGAGGAGCCCUCAGCCCUUCCAAACCGAUGAGGGGAGGGGCACCAAGGGGGGACCUGCUGCCUGGACUCCGGAUGCCCGGUCCCUUGAAUCUGAGACCUAAGGGAGAGCCGAGGCUUCUGGGGGAAAGGGGUGGGGAAACAUCUUUCCCUGUGGCUGGGGUCGGGAGGACAGGAAGUGCCAUAAAUUCCAGCCUCCAAUCAGACUCACCCAGGCCAUAUGAGGAUAGACUCCUGGGAAAUCUCCACUAGCCAGCCGCCCUGUGCGGCCAUCGGGAUUCAGAAGUCUUUUUGUCCCUUGUUUCUUUCUCCCUCCCUCCUGCUCCCCGAUACCUGGCACCCGGGGGUGGGGUUGAGCCCGGGGCCAGAGACUUUCAGGGUGUGGACGCAGGACAGAAAUGGUCCCCACAAUCCCCGGCGGUAGAGAAUGACGUCUUCCGGAGACUUCCCACCUGGGCCAGGUGCCACGGGAGUCAAGUCUUGGCCCUGGUCCUCCACAGGUGACAGAAGGCACAAGGAAGCCAGACAGCCAAAGCCCUCUGAGAUGCCGGCUCCGAGGGACGAUCUCACAUCUCUCAGAUUGGCUGAGACGACAGGAAAAGAUAAUGCGGAAGGUUGGAGGGGAUAUGGGGAAACUGGGACACUGACCCAUUGUUGGUGGAGUUGUGAAUGAAUCCAGCCAUUCUGGAGAGCGAUUUGGAACUAUGCACAAAAAGUUAUCCAACUGUGCAUCCCCUUUGACCCAGCAGUGUUUCUACUAGGUUCAUAUCUCAAAAAGAUCAUAAAAGAGGGAAAAGGCCCCACAUGUGCAGAAAUGUUUAUGGCAGCCCUUUUUACAGUGGCCAGAAACUGGAAACUGAAUGGAUGCCCAUCCAUUGGAGAAUGGCUGAAUAAAUUGUGGUAUAUAAGAAUGUUGUGGAAUAUUAUUGUUGUGUAAGAAACAAUCAGCAGGAUGAAUACAGAGAGGCUUGGAGAGACUGACAAGAACUGAUGCUGAGUGAAAUGCACAGAACCAGGAGAACAUUGUACACAGUAACAACAAGACUAUCAUGAUCAACUAGGAUAGACUUGGUUCUUCUCAGCAAUUGAGUGAUCCCAGACACUCCCAAUAAACUUUGGAUAGAAAAUGUCAUCUGCACGCAGAGGGAAAUCUAUGAAGAAUGAAUGUGGGUUGAAGCAUACUAUUUGCACCUUUUUUUCCCCCUCUUCUCAUGGUUUUUCCCUUUUGUCCUGAUUUUUCUCUCCCAACAUGACUCAUAUGGAAAUAUGUAAAAAGUGAAUUUACAAGUAUAAUCUGAAAAAUUAAAUUAAAAAGCCCAAAAACCUAAUGUCUAGGCAAGCAGGGUGACCCAGUGGGAGAGCACAUAGGGCUAAGCCCAAAGGCUUCCCCAUCAGUCUGGCUGCCCACAGAGGAGCCUCACAAAGGCUGAGAUGCAGGGCUCUGAAGGAGGAGAAGCUGGAAAAGACCCAGAGGGAGCACCUGGGAGCUGACAAACGUGGGCCAGGAUGUCCUCUGGAUCCUUAUGUACUAUACUAUUCUACAAUUUCAGCUGUCCAAAGGACAUGUGGAAAUCCUUCUUUUCCGAGCUUUGGGCCCAUAUCUCCUUCUAGUUCAAUCCCCAUGACAUCACAGUCCAGAGGACAGAAGAAUUCCAGACUGAGUCAUGUUGUUCAAAUCUAGCUUUGAUCUUAGACACGGUGACACCUGUGACAUGAGCAAGGGCCUCUGAAUGAGAAGGGACCUUAGAAAGUGGCUGGCUGGCUCAGGGAGGGGAAGGCCCUUAUCCAGGGUCACACCGCUAGUAAAUAGCAGAGUUAAAAUUAAAACUCAACUUGCC